GUGGAAAAACCAUUUGCAUCAAUCUUUUUCAUUAAUAUAUUCAAAGCUUCUGAGUAACACAGACUAUAUCACUUCUUUUUCAUGUGAAUGCUUGAAAAAAUAUUGGUAAAACUUACCUUUACCAAAAUUAAAAUGAUUUUAAACAUGAUUUUGAUAAACCUGUAUUUUGUUUAUUUUCUGCUAAUAUAGUGGACUGGUUUGCACAAAUUCAAUUGAAGUUAGAUGUUGUUUUAAUGUAAUCAUUGAAAAAUCAAUGAAUUUUUGUAGAACCCAGUCCUGUUUUUGCUUUGAUUUGCAGUUUGUAACCAAGCAAGAUGCUUUUUGCUGUUUUUCUGUGAUAGAUUUGUGGUUUUCCAUUCUGUGUUGUGGUUUAAUUUAAUUUAAUUUAUUUAGUAUUUUUAUUUUAAGUUGUGAGUUUCUUAAAUUUAUACAGCAUAAGUCAUACA
rnacentral:lncRNA from 1 species